rnacentral:rRNA from 1 species
UACGAAGGGGGCUAGCGUUGCUCGGAUUGACUGGGCGUAAAGGGCGCGUAGGCGGUUCGUACAGUCAGACGUGAAAUUCCUGGGCUCAACCUGGGGGCUGCGUUUGAUACGUGCGGACUUGAGUGCGGAAGAGGGUCGUGGAAUUCCCAGUGUAGAGGUGAAAUUCGUAGAUAUCGGGAGGAACACCAGUGGCGAAGGCGGCGACCUGGGCCAAUAUUGACGCCAUGAGGUGGCGAAA